rnacentral:rRNA from 1 species
GAUGAACGCUGGCGGCGUGCCUAACACAUGCAAGUCGAACGGAGUCCAGCCUUUAAGACCUUCGGGUCAAAGAGGGGAAGACUGAGUGGCGGACGGGUGAGUAACACGUGGGCAACCUGGCUCAUAGAGGGGGAUAACAGAGAGAAAUUUCUGCUAAUUCCGCAUAAGCACACACUGCCGCAUGGCAGAGGGUGAAAAGAGAAUCGCUAUGAGAUGGACCCGCGUCUGAUUAGCCAGUUGGCAGGGUAAGAGCCUACCAAAGCGACGAUCAGUAGCCGAUCUGAGAGGAUGAACGGCCACAUUGGGACUGAGACACGGCCCAAACUCCUACGGGAGGCAGCAGUGGGGGAUAUUGCACAAUGGGGGGAACCCUGAUGCAGCGACGCCGCGUGAGUGAAGAAGUAUUUCGGUAUGUAAAGCUCUAUCAGCAGGGAAGAUAAUGACAGUACCUGAAGAAGAAGCCCCGGCUAACUACGUG